rnacentral:rRNA from 1 species
UUGCCGUCAGCUCGUGUCGUGAGAUGUUGGGUUAAGUCCCGUAACGAGCGCAACCCUUGUCCUUAGUUACCAGCACGUUAUGGUGGGCACUCUAAGGAGACUGCCGGUGACAAACCGGAGGAAGGUGGGGAUGACGUCAAGUCAUCAUGGCCCUUACGGCCUGGGCUACACACGUGCUACAAUGGUCGGUACAAAGGGUUGCCAAGCCGCGAGGUGGAGCUAAUCCCAUAAAACCGAUCGUAGUCCGGAUCGCAGUCUGCAACUCGACUGCGUGAAGUCGGAAUCGCUAGUAAUCGUGAAUCAGAAUGUCACGGUGAAUACGUUCCCGGGCCUU